rnacentral:tRNA from 8 species
GCCUCCGUAGCUCAGGGGAUAGAGCAUUGGUUUCCGGUACCAAAGGUCGCACGUUCGAUUCGUGUCGGGGGCACCA